rnacentral:tRNA from 1 species
GGGGAUAUUGCUCAGCUGGUAGAGUACUUGCCUCACAUGCACAAGGCCCUGGGUUCAAUCCCCAAUACCACCA